GGAGGUGUAGCUCAGUCGGUUAGAGCGCUGCCCUGUCAAGGCAGAGGCCGCGGGUUCGAGCCCCGUCAUCUCCG
rnacentral:tRNA from 1 species